UGAGGAAUUUUGCGCAAUGGGCGAAAGCCUGACGCAGCGACGCCGCGUGGGCGAUGAAGCUCCUCGGAGUGUAAAGCCCUGUCAGGUGGGACGAAUGUUGGGAGGGACAAUACCCCAUUCCAGCUGACGGUACCACCAGAGGAAGCCCCGGCUAACUCUGUGCCAGCAGCCGCGGUAAUACAGAGGGGGCUAGCGUUGUUCGGAAUCACUGGGUGUAAAGGGUGCGUAGGCGGUCAGUUAAGUCUGAUGUGAAAGCCCUCGGCUCAACUGGGGAAUGGCAUUGGAAACUAGCUGGCUGGAGUACCGGAGAGGGAAGCGGAAUUCCUGGUGUAGCGGUGAAAUGCGUAGAUACCAGGAGGAACACCGGUGGCGAAGGCGGCUUCCUGGCCGAGUACUGACGCUGAGGCACGAAAGCGUGGGGAGCGAACGG
rnacentral:rRNA from 1 species